rnacentral:rRNA from 1 species
UGGUGGAGUGAUUUGUCUGGUUAAUUCCGAUAACGAACGAGACUCUAGCCUGCUAAAUAGUACGCACGUAUUUCAUCGCGUGCCGUACUUCUUAGAGGGAUAGGCUACUUUUAGUUGGCAAGAAAACUAGAGCAAUAACA